rnacentral:rRNA from 1 species
UACGUAGGGUGCAAGCGUUAAUCGGAAUUACUGGGCGUAAAGCGUGCGCAGGCGGUUGUGCAAGACCAGAUGUGAAAUCCCCGGGGCUCAACCUGGGAAUUGCAUUUGUGACUGCACGGCUAGAGUGUGUCAGAGGGGGGUAGAAUUCCACGUGUAGCAGUGAAAUGCGUAGAGAUGUGGAGGAAUACCGAUGGCGAAGGCAGCCCCCUGGGAUAACACUGACGCUCAUGCACGAAAGCGUGGGGAGCAAACAGG